rnacentral:misc_RNA from 1 species
GAUGAAGAACGCAGCGAAAUGCGAUAAGUAAUGCGAAUUGCAGAAUUCAGUGAGUCAUCGAAUCUUUGAACGCACAUUGCGCCCUGUGGUAUUCCGCAGGGCAUGCCUGUUCGAGCGUCAUUUCAACCCUCAAGCUCUGCUUGGUGUUGGGCCCUGCCCGCUGCGGCCGGCCCUAAAGACAGUGGCGGUGCCGCCUGGCCCUGAGCGUAGUACAUCUCUCGCUCCAGUGCCCGGUGGUAGCCUGCCGGAACCCCAACUCUCGUGGUUGACCUCGGAUCAGGUAGGGAUACCCGCUGAACUUAAGCAUAUCAAUAAGCGGAGGA